CUCCCUCUCUUUGCCUUUUGGCUUAGAUCAAGUGCAGUAGCCGUUCUUCUUAGUUUAAUCUCUAGGACGUGCCCACGGGUACAUCGAGAUUAACCCAGUUUUUGGAACAUCGGGUUGGAGGUCUAUGAGCACAGCUUACAUCUCCGACCACAGUGUCGCCAGUAUUGCACUGUCUCUGGCUGACGCGAACUUCG
rnacentral:snRNA from 1 species